CUGAAUAUUAUUCAGCCAUAAUAAUGAAUGCAGUGCUAAUACAUGCUACCGUGGAUGAACCUUGAAAAUAUUAUGCUAAGUUAAAAAAAAGGCAAAUCUAUAGAGACA